rnacentral:lncRNA from 1 species
GGUAGCUGUCUGCCCUGUGCUUCCGAAAACCUCUCCUUGAGCUGUUCCCGCUGUGGUUCCGAACCCUGCGCCAGGAGCUGUCCUACCGAAGGUUCCGAUCCCGCCUCCGGGAGCUGUCCGCCGGGCAGUUCCAAACCCCCUCCGGGAGCUGUCUUUCCAGCGGUUCCGACCCUCCGGGAGCUGUCCUCCGGGCGGUGCUGAACGCCAAAUAGCUCAGACGCUCCAGGGGAGGCGGGGCCGAGGCUGUGCCGCGACCCUGUGAACCUCGGGCUGCAGGGUUCUGGAACUCAUUCGGUGAGCAGUGGCCUUGCCAGGCCUUUUCUGGGGCAGAUACCAACGUAGUCUCCUUCAAGACCCCUGUAAUUUGAGGGCGGCAGUCUUUGACGUUCGACAUCUUCCGUACUUAAAACACCGAUGACUUUCUAAGUAUUGAUCAUUCCAUCACCUGUGCUCCAACAUCUCCUUACACACAGCCUGGAUACAUUCAUCUUUUAAAACGUGGUACAGUCUCCAGAGCUUCGGUGCUUUAACAAUGGAACACAGGCUCCCUCCUCCCGGGCAGGGACCUGGGUGGUGAAGAUUAUCUAGUCUUCUUUUCUCUUCUCCCUCCAUAAAUAGUGCAAUAAGUCACAUUAAUGGUAAUUGGGUCAUAAAGUCACUUUCACUCUGAAACAAAAUAAAUCCAUGAAGAUGUGAAGUGCUUACAAAUCCUACUGGGUAUAACUAAAUGAUAAUCAUUCAAUAUGGAAAGACGUGUUGCUGUUUCUAAGCAUUCAUAAAGAACGAAGAUAUUGGGAUCAUUCUGCCAACGUGUGAGUCAGCUCUACUUGGGGCAGAACCAAUACUCAUACCCUCCCUUCUUUGAUCCCUACUCUUCCUCCUCCAAAUCAGGGGCUCUACACAGUCAUAAACUUAUCACUUGCGGUGAUCACUUGCGGAUAAUAUAUAAAAAGGAAGGGAUUCACAAAACAUUCUUGCUAUAUGGAUUGGCUGAAACAAAGAAGUGUUUACAAAGCAUUCCAAUUCCCUUGGAAGAAUUAAGCCACAGAAAAGCACGGGUUGCUACCAUGUCUAUGUACUAUGUUGAACAGCCUGAAGCUUUUGAUAUGGAUAGUUGUGGAUUCCCUGGUCUUUCCCAUGAUAUGCUGCUUGGAACCAUCCAGAGCUACUGUGAUCUUGCAUUUCCUAUAAAAGUGCUCCUCCCUCAUCCAGGCUUCUGACCUCUAUUCUGCAAGGGUUGAUGCUGGUGUUUUGUUGGUUUUGUUUUACAUAAUUGGGGGUUUUCAUACAAUAACCAGAUUCAUGUUCCUUAUUUAAAUGAUGCUUACAUUAUAGGAAAAAAUAUAACUCCCAACCUGUUGGAUGUCAAAUGUGCCAAGUUUGUGGUCUAACAACAUCGAGGAAUGAAGUCGUUAACCAAAGGAGGAAGUUAGGAAAGUUUUAUUGGAAAUAAAGAGAAAGGAAAGAAGAAUAGCUCUUGGAUUUCCAGGAGGGGUCCCAAAUGGGUGGCCACGAAGACUGUUUGUCAGCGGUAAUUUAUACAGCAAAGUCACAAUGUGGGUGAAACUACAAUCAACCUAUAGGAUUAUAAAUAUAGCCCCAAAACUAAUAAUCAAAUAGGGAGACAAGUCACCUAACAUGGAUACAUGGAAAGAAU